UUCCAUUUAAAGGAGGUUUUAUAGCCGCUAUUUGAGAGACUGCUAGCCAGCUAGGCUGGCGGCAGGGUGAAGCUGUAAGACAAGUGUUAUGCAGUAAUGUCCACAGCUUGAUGGAGUGAGGUGAGAUCAGGGGAAUGAUGGGGGUGAUGGUAGAGAAAGCAGCAGCCGCAGCUGGGGCUGGAAGCAGGAAGGGAAAAGAAGAUCAGAAAAGCCCGAAAGCUUCUUCCUUGACCGUCACCACCAGCAGACAGUACUCUCCUCUACAGCGAAGCCCACCAACUUGCUGGGCAUAGCAACGCAUCCCAGAUUUGCCAUCUGAAUGAAGGUAAGAUGAGUCACCAGCAGCUGUACCGGAGUCACCCAGGAAAGUAAUGCCAGGAUUCUCAGUCUUGCUGCAUCUGCUCAAACUGCCACACUACGUGAUCCAGAAAUACAAGUUGAAUAUGUGAGGCCCAUGUUCCUAUCAGUGUGCAGAGGACUCUGUGUCCCUACCUUGGACUAAGUGCACUCUUGAAUGGAGUAUUCCAGACCAUCCACCAGUAAAGAGAGGCCAUGCUAGUCUAUGUAUACUAAAUAAACAAACAAACAAACAAAUAAAUAAAUAAAUAUGUUAAGGCCUUAAAAUCAUAUUAUUAAAACACAUUUCAUUUA